CCUACGGGGGGCUGCAGUGGGGAAUAUUGCGCAAUGGGGGAAACCCUGACGCAGCAACGCCGCGUGGAGGAAGAAGGUUUUCGGAUCGUAAACUCCUGUCUUCUGGGAAGAAGAAUGACGGUACCAGAGGAGGAAGCCACGGCUAACUACGUGCCAGCAGCCGCGGUAAUACGUAGGUGGCGAGCGUUGUCCGGAAUCACUGGGUGUAAAGGGCGCGUAGGCGGGUAUGCAAGUCAGAUGUGAAAGACCGGGGCUCAACUCCGGGGCUGCAUUUGAAACUGUAUAUCUUGAGUGCAGGAGAGGGAAGCGGAAUUCCUAGUGUAGCGGUGAAAUGCGUAGAUAUUAGGAGGAACACCAGUGGCGAAGGCGGCUUCCUGGACUGUAACUGACGCUGAGGCGCGAAAGCGUGGGGAGCGAACAGGAUUAGAUACCCUGGUAGUC
rnacentral:rRNA from 1 species